rnacentral:rRNA from 1 species
AUUGAACGCUGGCGGCAGGCCUAACACAUGCAAGUCGAACGAGUGGCGGACGGGUGAGUAAUGUCUGGGCAACUGCCUGAUGGAGGGGGCUAACUACUGGAAACGGUAGCUAAUACCGCAUACCAUCAGAUGUUCCCCAUUGGGAUUCGCUAGUUGGGGGGGUAACGUCUCACCAAGGCGACGAUCCCUAGCUGGUCUGAGAGGAUGAACAGACACAAUGGAACUGAGACACGGUCCAGACUCCUACGGGAGGAAGCAGGGGGGAAUAUUGCACAAUGGGCGCAAGCCUGAUGCAGCCAUGCCGCGUGUAUGAAGAAGGCCUUCGGGUUGUAAAGUACUUUCAGCGGGGAGGCGUUACCCGCAGAAGAAGCACCGGCUAACUCCGUGCCAGCAGCCGCGGUAAUUC